GCCGCAGUGGUGGAACUGGCAGACACGCUAGUCUUAGGAACUAGUGCCCUUUGAGGCGUGAGAGUUCGAAUCUCUCCUGCGGCA
rnacentral:tRNA from 1 species